rnacentral:lncRNA from 1 species
UACAAUUUUAGUUUAGCUCGCUUUUUUUCUUUUCUUCUUAUUCUCUCGCCUGCUUUUUGUGGGUGUGUGGGUGCGUUAUAUUUUCUUGGACAGGUGUCUUAUUUUUACGGCGAGGAAUUCUGGCAAGCUAGAGUACUUCCGUCGACUCCCAUUCAGAUUUCGGCAGGACGCAGCAGAACUACCUGUUCCGAUAAGCUUCAGGGAAACUUGCCCCAGGUACUAGUCGCGGCGGUGAGACCAGUUUGCGGCAUUUGGGAGUGAGUAGCUAAGCAACACCGGCCGGGACGUGCAAGAGGUGGUAGCAGUUGACCUCGGGCGUAUUAAAGCCUACUUUCAGAUUUUUCCACCGGGAGUUGGUACCUCCCGCUCUCUUGUUUACUCUGUACACCUUAUUUUCUUGGACAGGUGCCUUAUUUUUUCGGCGAGGAUUUUCGGCAAGCUAUAGUACUUCAGGCGACUCCCUUUCAGAUUUCCAGCAGGACGCAACAGAACUACCCGUUCUGAUAAGCUUAAGGAAAACUUGUCCCAGGUACUAGUCGCGGUGGCGAGGCCAUUUCGCUCCGUCUGGGAGUGAGGAGCUAAGCAAUACCGGCCAAGACGUGCAAUAGUUGGUAGCAGUCGACCUCGGGUGCAUCAAAGCCUACUUUCAAGUUUUUCCACCGGUAGUUGGUACCUCCUGCUCUCUUGUUUACUCUGUACACCUUUUUACGUAUUUUAGCUAGCAUUCCGCGUGAGGUUUACUCUGUUGCUAUCUAGUUUGCAUCUUUUUGCGUAUUCCGCUUUAGUGCGUGUGUGCGUCACUAUUCUCCAUAAUCGGUUGGAGAGAUAGUGGCUGCGGCGGGGGAUGAUAGUAUAAGGUCAUGU